rnacentral:tRNA from 1 species
GGGCGAUUAGCUCAGUUGGUUAGAGCGCCUCUUUUACAAGGAGGAAGUCGUGGGUUCGAAUCCCUCAUCGCCCACCA